rnacentral:rRNA from 1 species
AUACGGAGGGUGCAAGCGUUACCCGGAAUCAUUGGGCGUAAAGCGUCCGCAGGUGGCAAAUUAAGUCAGAUAUUAAAUCUUGGGGCCCAACUCCAAUGCUGUAUCUGAAACUGGUUUGCUAGAGUCUUUCAGGGGCAAGCGGAAUUCUGUGUGUAGGGGUAAAAUCCGUAGAUACACAGAGGAACACCAAAAGCGAAGGCAGCUUGCUGGGAAAGUACUGACACUCAUGGACGAAAGCGUAGGUAGCGAACGGGAUUAGAAACCCUAGUAGUCC